GCCAGCAGCCAUAUCACCCUGCAGCUCAAAACUGGCAGCCCACUGAAGUUCAGCAGGUGUGAGCCUGGUCAGUACCUGAAUGGGAGACUUUCUGGGAAAAACUAAGGUUGCUGCUGGAA
ensembl:rRNA 5S_rRNA 5S ribosomal RNA